UGAGUAAUGUCUGGGAAACUGCCUGAUGGAGGGGGAUAACUACUGGAAACGGUAGCUAAUACCGCAUAACGUCGCAAGACCAAAGAGGGGGACCUUCGGGCCUCUUGCCAUCAGAUGUGCCCAGAUGGGAUUAGCUAGUAGGUGGGGUAACGGCUCACCUAGGCGACGAUCCCUAGCUGGUCUGAGAGGAUGACCAGCCACACUGGAACUGAGACACGGUCCAGACUCCUACGGGAGGCAGCAGUGGGGAAUAUUGCACAAUGGGCGCAAGCCUGAUGCAGCCAUGCCGCGUGUACGAAGAAGGCCUUCGGGUUGUAAAGUACUUUCAGCGGGGAGGAAGGCGAUAAGGUUAAUAACCUUGUCGAUUGACGUUACCCGCAGAAGAAGCACCGGCUAACUCCGUGCCAGCAGCCGCGGUAAUACGGAGGGUGCAAGCGUUAAUCGGAAUUACUGGGCGUAAAGCGCACGCAGGCGGUCUGUCAAGUCGGAUGUGAAAUCCCCGGG
rnacentral:rRNA from 1 species